GAUGAACGCUGGCGGCGUGCCUAAUACAUGCAAGUCGAGCGAACAGAUAAGGAGCUUGCUCCUUUGACGUUAGCGGCGGACGGGUGAGUAACACGUGGGUAACCUACCUAUAAGACUGGGAUAACUUCGGGAAACCGGAGCUAAUACCGGAUAACAUUUGGAACCGUAUGGUUCUAAAGUGAAAGAUGGUUUUGCUAUCACUUAUAGAUGGACCCGCGCCGUAUUAGCUAGUUGGUAAGGUAACGGCUUACCAAGGCGACGAUACGUAGCCGACCUGAGAGGGUGAUCGGCCACACUGGAACUGAAACACGCUCCAGACGCCUACGGGAGGCAGCAGUAGGGAAUCUUCCGCAAUGGGCGAAAGCCUGACGGAGCAACGCCGCGUGAGUGAUGAAGGGGUUCGGCUCGUAAAACUCUGUUAUUAGGGAAGAACAAAUGUGGAAGUAACUGUGCACGUCUUGACGGUACCUAAUCAGAAAGCCACGGCUAACUACGUG
rnacentral:rRNA from 1 species